rnacentral:rRNA from 1 species
CCUACGGGAGGCUGCAGUGGGGAAUAUUGGGCAAUGGGCGCAAGCCUGAACCAGCAACGCCGCGUGAAGGAUGCAGGUUUUAGGAUUGUAAACUUCUGUCGUGAGGGACGAAGAAUGACGGUACCUCGUAAGAAAGCCCCGGCUAACUAAGUGCCAGCAGCCGCGUUAUUACGUAGGGGGCCAGCGGUGUCCGGAAUGACUGGGCGGACAGGGAUGGUAGGCGGCUCAUCAAGUGAGAUGUGAACGCCCCCGGCUUAACCGAGGAACUGCAGCUAAAACUGGUAAGUUGGAGUGCAGGAGAGGUGAGUGGAAUGCGUAGUGUAGCGGUGAAAUGCGUAGAUAUGAGGAGGAACACCAGAGGCGAAGGCGACUCACGGGACUGUAACUGACGCUGAGGAUCGAAAGCGGGGGGAGCAAACAGGAUUAGAUACCCUGGUAGUC